rnacentral:rRNA from 1 species
AGAGUUUGAUUCUGGCUCAGAACGAACGCUGGCGGCGUGGAUAAGACAUGCAAGUCGAACGAGAGAAUUGCUAGCUUGCUAAUAAUUCUCUAGUGGCGCACGGGUGAGUAACACGUGAGUAACCUGCCCCCGAGAGCGGGAUAGCCCUGGGAAACUGGGAUUAAUACCGCAUAGUAUCGAAAGAUUAAAGCAGCAAUGCGCUUGGGGAUGGGCUCGCGGCCUAUUAGUUAGUUGGUGAGGUAACGGCUCACCAAGGCGAUGACGGGUAGCCGGUCUGAGAGGAUGUCCGGCCACACUGGAACUGAGACACGGUCCAGACACCUACGGGUGGCAGCAGUCGAGAAUCAUUCACAAUGGGGGAAACCCUGAUGGUGCGACGCCGCGUGGGGGAAUGAAGGUUUUCGGAUUGUAAACCCCUGUCAUGUGGGAGCAAAUUAAAAAGAUAGUACCACAAGAGGAAGAGACGGCUAACUCUGUGCCAGCAGCCGCGGUAAUACAGAGGUCUCAAGCGUUGUUCGGAAUCACUGGGCGUAAAGCGUGCGUAGGCUGUUUCGUAAGUCGUGUGUGAAAGGCGCGGGCUCAACCCGCGGACGGCACAUGAUACUGCGAGACUAGAGUAAUGGAGGGGGAACCGGAAUUCUCGGUGUAGCAGUGAAAUGCGUAGAUAUCGAGAGGAACACUCGUGGCGAAGGCGGGUUCCUGGACAUUAACUGACGCUGAGGCACGAAGGCCAGGGGAGCGAAAGGGAUUAGAUACCCCUGUAGUCCUGGCAGUAAACGGUGCACGCUUGGUGUGCGGGGAAUCGACCCCCUGCGUGCCGGAGCUAACGCGUUAAGCGUGCCGCCUGGGGAGUACGGUCGCAAGAUUAAAACUCAAAGGAAUUGACGGGGACCCG